GGAGGGGUGGGCUGGCCAGGGGAAGAGGAGACCAUUUGCAUGCAGGGCCCUGCCCCUGGGGACUGAGGGGAUAAGAGAGGCCUGGGGCAUGUCUGCCUCAGCAGAGCUCUGGGGUCUGCACCAUGGCCUGGACACCACUCGGCCUCCUCAGCCUCCUCAUUCACUGCACAGGGUCCCUGUCCCUGUCCCAGCCUGUGCUGACACAGCCGCCCUCUGCAUCUGCCUCCCUGGGAGCCUCAGUCAAGUUCACCUGCACCCUGAGCAGUGAGCACAGCAGCUACUGGAUUGAGUGGUUCCAGCAGAGGCCAGGGAAGGGCCCCCAGUAUGUGAUGCAAGUGAAAAGUGAUGGAAGCCAGAGCAAGGGUGAUGGGAUCCCUGAUCGCUUCUUGGGCUCCAGCUCUGGGGCCGACCGCUACUUAUCCAUCAGCAACCUCCAGGCUGAGGACGAGGCUGACUAUUUCUGUGGUGUAAGCUACAACAGUGGGUAUUACACAGUGAAACAGAUGGGUGGGGAAGUGAGACAAAAACUUUUCUCUGCUCUCGACUCAGGCUGGCACCUGCUCCCAGAGAGUGUCUGUUGUCCUGAGUGAUGAAAGCACUGGGUGUUUCCUUCUUAUUCCUCCAGGGGAUGCAGCUGCCUCAUGAUUCCAGUGCUGCUGGGCCUGGGGAGUAGGUGACUGUCUCUCUCCAUUUAAUGAUAUUCUUGCAAAGUUAGAACCACAUGGAUGGGAGCAGGUUAGUUGUUGCCAGGGGUGAGGGGUGGGGCAAAGGUGUCACUGUCAAAGGCAGCACAGGGUUAUUUGUGGAAGGAAGUUUGAUGGAGCUGCUCUGAAUCCUGAUUGUAAUAGAGGUGACCGAGAUCUACACUAGGCUGAAGGUUGUAGAACUGACUGCCCAAAAUAUCAAUUUUAUUGCUUAAUAAUUAAGAAAACAAAAUUAUAACACAGAGUUAUCAUAUUACCUGCAUUUCAAAUCAUAAGUUUGACUUGAAAUGAAAAAUAUAUAUCUGGACAGAUUUGUACACAAAUAGUUCUAGUGGUUUUCCAUGUUGUAACCAAAAGUAGAAACAAUCAAAACAUCCACCAAUUUGUGAUUGGAUAAACAAAAUGUGGUGUACCCAUAUAAUGGAAUUCAAAUCAUCAAUUAAAAAAAAUAUGUACUGACAGGGGGAAGGGGGAAGUGGGAGUGUAUGUUUUCUAGAUAUGGAGUGUCUGAAAAUAAGAUUAAUUAAAAAGGGAACUUUUAAAUUAAUGGUCCAUAUGUAACAUGAAUGAGCCUCAGAAACUGAUGCAAAGUAUCUUGCAAAGACCCCACACUGUAUGAGUCCAUUUAUAUGAAAUGCUCCAGAAAGUCACAUCUAUAGAUUCAUAAACUAAGUUAAUGGUUGCUUGGCCCUGGGAGUGGGGAUGGCCUGAAAUGGGCUGAAGGGAUCAUGGGGCUUCAUGGGAAUUUCUAAAUCCAGACUGCGGUGACUCUGUGAAUUUGCUGAAACUCCCUUAAUUGCACACCUAAAUGAUGUGAGUUUUCUGGUAGGCAAAUUUUAUCUCAGGAAAGCCAUUCACAUAUAACUUUUGUCAUAUUUGGAAGUAAUAUUUUCACUGUAAGGUAUACAAUAGAGGAUUGUGUGCAUGUGUUUGGUGUUGUGUGAGCAGCAGAAGAUUUAUUUAACACACAGGUGUUGGGGGAGAGUUUACCUCAGAGAGUCCAGUAGGUGUUGCUGAGAUCUGGGCCCUCCAACCACCAGGAAGUGGUGACCUCAGGAUUGAUCGCAGACAGACUUGACCUGCCAGCAGUGGAGAAGAGUAUGGGGAUCAGGAAGGAGGCCCCUGGGCACCAUGUGUGGUUGACCCUCAGGGUUUGUUGUCUCUCAGAGGGCAGGCAGGGCUGGGGAGAGGUGGCCUUGACAGACAGGAGGCCUCCAUUGCCAUUCACUGACCAGGUGAGGGGCACCUGCCCCUGUGUGACCAGCCCUCCUUCCCACUGGGCCUGGGAGGUUCCCUAUAACUGCCCAUACUCUGGAGGUGGUCACAGUAUUCAACUCCUCAAUAUAUAAAUCAUUUUGAGGUUCCACUUCUUUCCGGCUUAGUCCCUGACAUAUGCAAGUGUAGUAUGUUCUCAUGAACCUUCCUUAAAUUACCUGGGCAUCACCUGUAAAGGAGUCUGACAGGGCCUGGCUCAUCCAAAGGAUUUGAAGGAUGAGGGGUGAGGUGUGCAGCAGGAGCAGCUCAGUGGUGACAGUGAUCCCUUCCUGUCCUGGGGACCUGGGGGUGUGCACUGAGAGAAGAUAGGCUGGGGCCACCCUCCCACCUCCUUUAUGAGUUCAGGCUUCAAGCAAAGAGAUCUAGUCCCAGUAAGGAGACCAAGAUGAGAUGCUGGUGACACAUCAGGAGAUGACAGGAAAGUCUG